rnacentral:rRNA from 1 species
GACGAACGCUGGCGGCGUGCUUAACACAUGCAAGUCGAACGGAGAGGCCUGCUUUCCCUUGUGGAUUGCGGGUACUCGAGUGGCGAACGGGUGAGUAACACGUGAGUGAUCUGCCCCCAACUUGGGUAUAAGCCUGGGAAACUGGGUCUAAUUCCCGAUAGGACUGCAGGGUGGUGCCUGUGGUGGAAAACGAUUUUCUAGUGGUUGGGGAUGAGCUCGCGGCCUAUCAGCUUGUUGGUGGGGUAAUGGCCUACCAAGGCGGCGACGGGUAGCCGGCCUGAGAGGGUGGACGGCCACAUUGGGACUGAGAUACGGCCCAGACUCCUACGGGAGGCGGCAGUGGGGAAUAUUGCACAAUGGGCGGAAGCCUGAUGCAGCGACGCCGCGUGGUGGAUGACGGCCUUCGGGUUGUAAACUCCUUUCGACCGCGAGGAAGCCACCUGGUUGGAAGGGUGGUGACGGUAGUGGUAGAAGAAGCACCGGCUAACUACGUG